rnacentral:misc_RNA from 1 species
AAGUCGUAACAAGGUUUCCGUAGGUGAACCUGCGGAAGGCUCAUUAACAUAUCCCAACGUUAAACCCCCCUGUGAAUUUUAUCGCUGCUCUUGCAGACGCCGGCAAGUUUGCAAUCCCUGGUAAAUCAUUGUUGAACAGAUUUUGAUUCAGGGACCUCUACCCGGUAUGGUUUCCCCAAGCAGCUCGCGUCUGGUGUCGCGGGUUGGGCAAGGAAAACGCUUUACGAUCGCUGGAGGCCGAACACCGGCCGGUGACCGGGCUGUGGCUAUAUGCCCCCUAUAUUUACCCCACUACCUUAACUCGGUCGCAGGAAACUGCUUCCCAUCAACCGAUAACAAUGGAUAUCUUGGUUCUC